rnacentral:rRNA from 1 species
UGGGUAACCUACCUAUAAGACUGGGAUAACUCCGGGAAACCGGGGCUAAUACCGGAUAAUAUUUUGAACCGCAUGGUUCAAUAGUGAAAGACGGUUUCGGCUGUCACUUAUAGAUGGACCCGCGCCGUAUUAGCUAGUUGGUAAGGUAACGGCUUACCAAGGCGACGAUACGUAGCCGACCUGAGAGGGUGAUCGGCCACACUGGAACUGAGACACGGUCCAGACUCCUACGGGAGGCAGCAGUAGGGAAUCUUCCGCAAUGGGCGAAAGCCUGACGGAGCAACGCCGCGUGAGUGAUGAAGGUCUUCGGAUCGUAAAACUCUGUUGUUAGGGAAGAACAAAUUUGUUAGUAACUGAACAAGUCUUGACGGUACCUAACCAGAAAGCCACGGCUAACUACGUGCCAGCAGCCGCGGUAAUACGUAGGUGGCAAGCGUUAUCCGGAAUUAUUGGGCGUAAAGCGCGCGUAGGCGGUUUCUUAAGUCUGAUGUGAAAGCCCACGGCUCAACCGUGGAGGGUCAUUGGAAAC